rnacentral:rRNA from 1 species
GAUGAACGCUGGCGGCGUGCCUAAUACAUGCAAGUCGAGCGAAGCGGGAACGGGUGAGUAAGACGUGGAUAACCUCCUAUAAGACUGGGAUAACUUCGGGACACCGGAGAUAAACCGCAUACUUAUAGAUGGAUCUGCGCUGCAUUAGCGAGUGGGUAAGGUAACGGCUUACCAAGGCAACGAUGCAUAGCCGACCUGAGAGGGUGAUCGGCCACACUGGAACUGAGACACGGUCCAGACUCCUACGGGAGGCAGCAGUAGGGAAUCUUCCGCAAUGGGCGAAAGCCUGACAGAGCAACGCCGCGUGAGUUAUGAAGGUCUUCGGAUCGUAAAACUCUGUUAUUAGGGAAGCGGUACCUAAUCAGAAAGCCACGGCUAACUACGUGCCAGCAGCCGCGGUAAUAC